GUGAGGAAUUUUCCGCAAUGGGCGAAAGCCUGACGGAGCAAUGCCGCGUGAAGGAUGAAGGCCUAUGGGUUGUAAACUUCUUUUCUCAGAAAAGAAUUAUGACGGUAUCUGAGGAAUAAGCAUCGGCUAACUCUGUGCCAGCAGCCGCGGUAAGACAGAGGAUGCAAGCGUUAUCCGGAAUGAUUGGGCGUAAAGCGUCUGUAGGUUGUUUAAAAAGUAUUCUGUCAAAGAUUAGGGCUUAACCCUAGAUAGGCAGAAUAAACUUUUAAGCUAGAGUUUGGUAGAGGCAGAGGGAAUUCCCGGUGGAGCGGUGAAAUGCGUAGAUAUCGGGAGGAACACCAAAGGCGAAGGCACUCUGCUGUGCCAAUACUAACACUGAGAGACGAAAGCGAGGGGAGCAAAUGGGAUUAGAUACCCCAGUAGUCC
rnacentral:rRNA from 1 species